rnacentral:rRNA from 1 species
UACGUAGGGGGCAAGCGUUGUCCGGAUUUAUUGGGCGUAAAGAGCUCGUAGGCGGCUUGGCAAGUCGGGUGUGAAACCUCCAGGCUCAACCUGGAGUCGCCAUUCGAUACUGCUAUGGCUUGAGUUUGGUAGGGGACCACGGAAUUCCUGGUGUAGCGGUGAAAUGCGCAGAUAUCAGGAGGAACACCAAUGGCGAAGGCAGCUCGCUGGGACGUGACUGACGCUGAGACGCGAAAGCGUGGGGAGCAAACAGG